rnacentral:tRNA from 1 species
UCCCUGGUAGCUCAGAUGGUAAAGCAUCUGCCUACAAUGUGGGAGACCCAGGUUCAAUCCCUGGGUUGGGAA